CCUACGGGAGGCUGCAGUGGGGAAUAUUGCACAAUGGGGGAAACCCUGAUGCAGCGACGCCGCGUGAGUGAAGAAGUAUUUCGGUAUGUAAAGCUCUAUCAGCCGGGAAGAAAAUGACGGUACCUGAUUAAGAAGCCCCGGCUAACUACGUGCCAGCAGCCGCGGUAAUACGUAGGGGGCAAGCGUUAUCCGGAUUUACUGGGUGUAAAGGGAGCGUAGACGGCAGCACAAGUCUGGAGUGAAAUGGCGGGGCUUAACCCCGGAACUGCUUUGGAAACUGUGCAGCUAGAGUGCAGGAGAGGUAAGUGGAAUGCCUAGUGGAGCGGUGAAAUGCGGAGAUAGUAGGAGGAACACCAGUGGCGAAGGCGGCUUACUGGACUGUAACGGACGUUGAGGCUCGAAAGCGUGGGGAGCAAACAGGAUUAGAUACCCGUGUAGUC
rnacentral:rRNA from 1 species